GGGGGUAUAUCUCAGUGGUAAAGCAUUUGACUGCACCUCAAGAGGUCCCCAGUUCAAAUCUCUUUGUCCCUU